rnacentral:piRNA from 1 species
UGUGACAAGGAUGCAGAACCUCUU